rnacentral:rRNA from 1 species
UACGUAGGGUGCGAGCGUUGUCCGGAAUUAUUGGGCGUAAAGAGCUCGUAGGCGGUUUGUCGCGUCGGCCGUGAAAUCUCCACGCUUAACGUGGAGCGUGCGGUCGAUACGGGCAGACUUGAGUUCGGUAGGGGAGACUGGAAUUCCUGGUGUAGCGGUGAAAUGACGCAGAUAUCAGGAGGAACACCAAUUGCGAAGGCAGCUCGCUGGAACGUAACUGACGCUGAGAACGCGAAAGCGUGGGGAGCAAACAGG